UACAAAGAAUAAUAGAAAAGAAAGGUAAAAACCCCUUUCAGUCAUUAACGGCCAUGGGAUUGCACCUAGAAAGUUUCCCUCCGAGGCACAAGUCCAGACAAAGUUGU